rnacentral:rRNA from 1 species
AGAGUUUGAUCCUGGCUCAGGACGAACGCUGGCGGCGUGCUUAACACAUGCAAGUCGAACGAGAAUCUACUGAAAGAGUUUUCGGACAAUGGAAGUAGAGGAAAGUGGCGGACGGGUGAGUAACGCGUGAGGAACCUGCCUUGAAGAGGGGGACAACAGUUGGAAACGACUGCUAAUACCGCAUGAAGCAUAGGGGUCGCAUGAUCUUUAUGCCAAAGAUUUAUCGCUUCAAGAUGGCCUCGCGUCUGAUUAGCUAGUUGGCGGGGUAACGGCCCACCAAGGCGACGAUCAGUAGCCGGACUGAGAGGUUGAACGGCCACAUUGGGACUGAGAUACGGCCCAGACUCCUACGGGAGGCAGCAGUGGGGAAUAUUGGGCAAUGGGCGCAAGCCUGACCCAGCAACGCCGCGUGAAGGAAGAAGGCUUUCGGGUUGUAAACUUCUUUUAAGAGGGAAGAGCAGAAGACGGUACCUUUAGAAUAAGCCACGGCUAACUACGUGCCAGCAGCCGCGGUAAUACGUAGGUGGCAAGCGUUGUCCGGAUUUACUGGGUGUAAAGGGCGUGCAGCCGGGUCUGCAAGUCAGAUGUGAAAUCCAUGGGCUCAACCCAUGAACUGCAUUUGAAACUGUAGAUCUUGAGUGUCGGAGGGGCAAUCGGAAUUCCUAGUGUAGCGGUGAAAUGCGUAGAUAUUAGGAGGAACACCAGUGGCGAAGGCGGAUUGCUGGACGAUAACUGACGGUGAGGCGCGAAAGUGUGGGGAGCAAACAGGAUUAGAUACCCUGGUAGUCCACACUGUAAACGAUGAAUACUAGGUGUGCGGGGACUGACCCCCUGCGUGCCGCAGUAAACACAAUAAGUAUUCCACCUGGGGAGUACGAUCGCAAGGUUGAAACUCAAAGGAAUUGACGGGGGCCCGCACAAGCGGUGGAUUAUGUGGUUUAAUUCGAAGCAACGCGAAGAACCUUACCAGGGUUUGACAUCCUGCUAACGAAGUAGAGAUACAUUAGGUGCCCUUCGGGGAAAGCAGAGACAGGUGGUGCAUGGUUGUCGUCAGCUCGUGUCGUGAGAUGUUGGGUU